AUCUUAGACGUAAUAACAGAUUGUAAAUGCUGGAAUCUUAGAAUUAAAUACACAUGUUCAGAACAAAAUUGGUCACAAAUAAGAGUAAAAUAAAAAUAUUGUAUUAUUAUAAGUAGGGACCCGGUUCCAUUCGGUUCUUGUGUUUUUUUCUUUUUUUUUGGUGCAAUGACUUUAUGGGAACAAUUCAAAUCAGUUUUUGUUUCCUCUACACUCUAAAAUUAUUUAAAUUAUUAUUAAAUAUUUCUAAAUAAUAUUAAUUACCUAUUAUUAUUUAUUAAGAAAUAAAAAAUUAAAAUCUAGAACUAGAACUGAAAAAAAACCGUAAUUUAAACGGUUUUUAGUUUUUUUUAUUUGUCAAGAAAUUAGAACCACUGAAAUCCUUGUUAAUCUUGUUAAAAUCUUGUUUACCUGUUACACUAAACCGGUACAGUUUUCAAAUAUUUUAUUAAACCGUAACUAAAACCGAACCAUAAUUUGAUUUCGGUCCGGGUCCCUGAAUUUAUAACAAUAUGCUGUGGAACCUUAAUUACGUAAUUUCCCAAUAAACUUUACAGUUCAUACAGAUCGUUGAUUGCACGCUUGGAAUUUACAAUAAUGCGUCGUAAGAGCCGCACGCGGACAUGACGUAGAAGAGAAUACAAUCUUGUUAAUAUUGUCAUAACAGUACAGUUAUAAUUUAAAAUAGUCCGGACAUUGCGCGCGUGUCUAAAAAAUGUUUUAAAACAAUAACGUCAUAAAGGAAAAUAUAAAACAUUUUACACAUUUUACAAAGAUUUCUUAUAAAAAUAAAAUACUGGGCAAUAUUAAUUUGGCCAAUAUUAAUUAAUACUUAUUUUAAAUACACUAUUGUUAAUACUUGUAAUACCAAAAAUAAGUAAUAAUUACUGAUCAAUUUAAUACUGUCUAGUAUUACAUUUUAUAAGGAUUGGACGCGUCUGACACGAAGGGAUAACAAUUAUUGUGACGUAGUAAAUUCAUGCUAAAUAUUCGCGAACAUAUGGAUCCAGAUAGAUAUGUAUGUGGUGUAAUCGUUUUGCAAUAUAUAUUAUGCGAAUACGCUACAAGUUAAAGAGAAACAGACAAUUUAGCACGUGAUGUCUGAUCACGAUAAAUUAUUGAUAAUCAAUUCUUUUGUAAUCAUUUACUGAUUAAAUCAUCUAGUUGCUGAAUGAUUCGGUAUUUCUUCUAUCGACUUUAAUCGAUAAGAGAAAUAUCAAAUCAGUCAGCAUCUGUAUAUAAGCAUGAUUUGGGUGUAUGUAUAAGUCUAAAAGUAAUUUUGUUGAACUGUUAUGUUGACAUUGUUUCAAGAUUGUCAUAAAGUUCCAGCACUGUUCGAGUAUCCUACAUAAUUAUUUUAAUAAUCCAACAAAAUUAUUUUCUGGAUUUAAUUCUUUUUUGAUGGGAACUUACAUGUCGCAGCGGCCAGGAACUGCACGUGCUUGGAACCCGUCAUGUCUUCAAAGCAGCAAUGACUGACGGUGCUCAACCCGAGUGACGUCCGAGUAUAUUUAAGUCUCCAGAUUGUUUAGCCAGAAAUGUAUCACACAACUCCGAAGAGAAAUUUAUUGGUGCACACUAUAACAUAGUCUUUAUAAAAAUGCUUCUCUAUCUUCUCGUUAACACAAGUGGAAGUCAUUUUCUUUCUGUCCCGUUCGGGUUUCUGUAAUGAGUUACUACGUCUUUUCCCUAUUCUUUUCUCUUAUCAUUUAUCUCGCAAAACGCGAUAGUGAUUGCUGAUCAUGGCAUGCGACGAUGCCACGGAAAUAUCUUUUUGUUCUGCGUUCGGUUUCGCGACGUUCUUCAUAUUAAUUUACGAUGUAUGAUUCGUAUUUCUGAUGUCAAUUAAAAAAAAUAUGUAUCAGACGUCUAAAAAUAGUACCAUUUAAUUAAAAUAUUUUAAAAAUCGCAAUAUGUACAAUAUUACUUAUAAAUAAUAUAAUUUAAAAAAUUCAUCUGAAUUAAUACAGUUCGGGUUCUAUUUCUUAUAAUUUUGUUUGUUUAAUUAUUAUACAUAUUUAUAUUUAUAUCGUAUGCAAAUUAUAUAAAAAUUAUGUUUCCUAAAUAAUUAAAUAUAUGAAAUUUUAUUAUCAUUAGUAUUUAUUAGAAAUAAUUAUGUUGUAGUUCUUUUUUAUUGCGCCAUAUAAAUUCCGUAAUUUUAAUGAUUUCAAUGAUUAUUGAUAUAAAAUUUUCAAUUUGACAAUGAUAUUUUCGGCGUUGUUGUUAAUUAUUACAUUCUCUAUAGAAACGGUACAAAAUGAUUAGUCUCUUAUCUGUGAACGAGAAAUACGUUACAACAUUAAUGAUUUUUCAUACUCUACGCUACGUCUCCUACAAUCGGCAUACGUAAUAUUAGAAACUUGCGAUGUAGUACAAGUAAAAGAAUCAUAUUAAUGUUUCAUCGCAUUUCCUUCACCGAUCAAACAGGAACUUGCUUGCCAAAAAAGAAUGUUUACUUGCACAAUAUAAAUUUCUUUACGCUCGAGAAACACAGUUUAUAGACAAUGAUAUAUACAAAAACAUCAUUAACGUGCGUAUUUGUGCAUAAAAUGACUUCUACUAUACACAUAUAUUAUAUUUGUGCUAUGUGUCAUAUUAAAUUUUAUAUAAGACGUUUGGAAGACAAUAAACUAUUUUUGGUUGCGUU
rnacentral:lncRNA from 1 species